rnacentral:ncRNA from 2 species
AACAGAGUAGGUAAAAUGCGUUAAGUGUUAAGGGAUGGGAAGUUGACCUUAAACGAAAGACAAAGUCUGCGAUAUUUUACCGCGUCCGCUGUU